GGACCAAUAUGUCGGUCGUGCUUCGGUACGUACUGUCAUUAUUGGUUUCUCCCUUCUGAAGAACCUUGAUGUCAUUAAUUUGGUGUCUUGGGGAAUCAGGACUGUUACUUUGAAAAAAUUAGAGUGUUUAAAGCAGGCUCGCGCUUGAAUACAUUAGCAUGGAAUAAUGAAAUAGGACGU
rnacentral:rRNA from 1 species